rnacentral:rRNA from 1 species
AUUGGACGCUGGCGGCAUGCCUUACACAUGCAAGUCGAACGGUAACAGGUCUUCGGAUGCUGACGAGUGGCGAACGGGUGAGUAAUAUAUCGGAACGUGCCCAGUCGUGGGGGAUAACGCAGCGAAAGCUGUGCUAAUACCGCAUACGAUCUAUGGAUGAAAGCGGGGGAUCGCAAGACCUCGCGCGAUUGGAGCGGCCGAUAUCAGAUUAGGUAGUUGGUGGGGUAAAGGCCUACCAAGCCAACGAUCUGUAGCUGGUCUGAGAGGACGACCAGCCACACUGGAACUGAGACACGGUCCAGACUCCUACGGGAGGCAGCAGUGGGGAAUUUUGGACAAUGGGCGCAAGCCUGAUCCAGCAAUGCCGCGUGCAGGAUGAAGGCCUUCGGGUUGUAAACUGCUUUUGUACGGAACGAAAAGGCUCUGGUUAAUACCUGGGGCUCAUGACGGUACCGUAAGAAUAAGCACCGGCUAACUACGUGCCAGCCGCCGCCGUAA